ACCUACUUACUUGGAUAACCGUGGUAAUUCUAGAGCUAAUACAUGCUAAAAACCUCGACUUCGGAAGGGGUGUAUUUAUUAGAUAAAAAACCAAUGCCCUCCGGGGCUCCCUGGUGAUUCAUAAUAACUCAACGAAUCGCAUGGCCUUGUGCCGGCGAUGGUUCAUUCAAAUUUCUGCCCUAUCAACUUUCGAUGGUAGGAUAGUGGCCUACCAUGGUGGCAACGGGUAACGGGGAAUUAGGGUUCUAUUCCGGAGAGGGAGCCUGAGAAACGGCUACCACAUCCAAGGAAGGCAGCAGGCGCGCAAAUUACCCAAUCCCGACACGGGGAGGUAGUGACAAUAAAUACUGAUGUGGAGCUCUUUAGGGUUUCACAAUUGGAAUGAGAAAAAUCUAAACCACUUAAACGAGGAACAAUUGGAGGGCAAGUCUGGUGCCAGCAGCCGCGGUAAUUCCAGCUCCAAUAGCGUAUAUUAAAGUUGUUGCAGUUAAAAAGCUCGUAGUUGAACCUUGGGCCUGGCCGGCCGGUCCGCCUCACCGCGUGCACUGGUUCGGCCGGGCCUUUCCUCCUGGGGAACCGCAUGCCCUUCACUGGGUGUGCCGGGGAAUCAGGACUUUUACUUUGAAAAAAUUAGAGUGUUCAAAGCAGGCAUUUGCUCGAAUACAUUAGCAUGGAAUAAUAGAAUAGGACGUUGUGGKUCUAUUUUGUUGGUUUCUAGGACCGCCGUAAUGAUUAAWUAGGGACG
rnacentral:rRNA from 1 species